CACCCAUGGAACCACUGCUCCUUCUCCCCGAUUCUUCGAUGUCAAGACUCCAUCUAACACCAGACUUAUUCAUGUAUCUGCGCUCCAGACUUGAUGUAGGAGAUCUAUCCACCAGGCCCAUGGGCGAAGCUUUAGAACUUGAAGAUCUUUCUAAAGACAACUCCCCAAUAUGGCCAUCAUCCAUUUUAGUAGGCUUCUCAGCAGAUCUAUACUUGGAAGCUCUUUCUGAUGCUCCUGCCAAACUAGUAACCUCCCUAGAAGAAACUGAUUUGGAUCUCUGUUCUAUUGCAGCAUCUCUGUGCUUUAGUUCUUCCUGUUUAAAUUGCCUGUAAUCAUCUGCAGCUCCAUGAGAACUGGUGUUGGGGGAAGCUCUCCUCCUAUUGCUGUUGGUACUAUUGUCUGGGUGAUCUUGAAGUGAUUGAGACCUUCCCCGGUCAGCAUCAGACUCAACUCUACUGUUGCUCAAAGAUUUCUUUUCCAUGUCAAGAUAAAGGGUUUUGACACCAAUAGAUUUAGAAUCAUUAUAAUCAUCACGAUCAUCAGGAGAUAUCUUCCUUCCCCUGCUCUCUUUGUAUCUAGUAGCACUUCGAUCAUCAUAGUCAAGAUUUCUGUCACGGUCACGGCCACGCUCUCUAUCUCGGUCCCGGUCUCGCUCUCGUUCAUGGUCUCUCUCUCGUUCACGAUCUCUUUCCCGAUCCCAAUCCCGGUCACGCUGCUCUCGAUCCCAAUCUCUAUCAUGGUCGCGGUCCCUAUCCCGGUCUCUAUCUCUGUCACGAUGAUAACUUCCACCAUCAAUAUCAUGAUCAUAAUCCCGGCCAAGAUCAAAAUCAUGAUCAUGAUCUCGCUCAUGGUCACGAUCACCAUCUUGUAGCUUAUAUUUCUUUGGUUUAACAUCUUUGGUAUCUUUAUCAUCCCUCAAGUUCUUACCAUCAGACCUGCUGUUAAUGCGAUCUUUUGCAGCACGCUCAUCUCGGUGUCUGUUUUCCCUGUCCACAUCUUCACGGUACUUGUCUUUAUAUCUCUCCUCCUUAUACUUCUCAUCCUUUGGCCUUCCAUCCUUAGCAACAUCCUCCCUUGAGGACAAUUGUCUGUCAUUGGUGUCUCCAUUAUCAUCAUGAUGCUUAUCCCCAUCGCUAAAACCAUCUCGUUUUCUCUUUAUCCGUCUAUCAGGCAGGGUAUCCAAUUCGGGACUUUGCAGUAGAUCGCGUGCAUUCAACUCAGUUUUUUCAGAUACAUGCUUCACUGAACGCAUGUCUUCACCAUCAACCAAUUUGUCACUCUCCCCCUCCUUACCCCUCCUAUCUCUCUCCUUUUC
rnacentral:misc_RNA from 1 species